AUUUAUCUGAAGAGUUCGAAAUAGGGGUAAAUAUGCAUCCUAAAU
rnacentral:hammerhead_ribozyme from 1 species